rnacentral:misc_RNA from 1 species
ACACACGCGCACACACACAUACCAACACACACACACAUCCUAAAGCUACUGCUUCUUGCAUGAAGAGAGUGUGGUGCCCUCUCUUCGACUGCGGCUGUCUUUCUACUCCGUGCGUGUAUGUGGUGUGCUUUCUUUUCUCUGCUUUCUGCCGUGCUAGCUACGCUGUCUAGCACGUCUUAGCGUGUGCUUGUGCGAGUGCAUGUGUGUCGUUGCUGUAUGCAUGGCUGGGUGCAACGUCGCCGGCUGAUGCUGCCGUUUUUAUUAGCCGUUGCCAGAGCGCAAAGGUCGAGCACACCAGCGUCGAUGUUUGCCCACGCUUCACAGGCGAAGCUGUGAACCAACGUGCGCAGGGGCUUUCAGUGCUGCGUAGCGUUAGCAAGGCAACAUGCCUGAAUCUGCAAAGCCCCCGCGUCACUUGGAGGAAGUAUUCCUCUUCAUCUUGUCACUGUCGGCGCGUGGAACGGCGAACCGCAGUGUUUACGAUCCUUUGUGAACUUCCUUCCGCGCGUUUCAUGAUCAGACCAACGAGGCGGCUCUCUGUUCCCAAGCACUCAUAACCGCUGAUGUCGAAGCUGCUCAUACAAUCCGCACGACAAUCACGUCAACGCCUGGGAGCCCACAGCGAGGUGCUGUCGCGGCGUCACAUGGCCGCGUCGUGCUCGGAGUUGCAGGAACCCACAUGAUUAACGAGAGCGCGUCCUGCGCCAGUGCGCAGGUGGCCGGCCAAGAGGCUCGAGCCAAGCCCCCCCCCUCCCUUCCCCGCCAGCUCUGCCUUCUGCUCCCCAUUCCCGCUUGCUGGGGGAGCAGACGCCCACGCACCACGGCAUUGGAAGCCGGCGCUUCUCUGUCGGAAGCAUGGAGAUGUCAGACGUGUAGCAGCCGGAUGGCCUGGUCGCGCAUCCGGUGGACCUCGAAGCGGUGUGACUGACCUUGAGCAGAGUAAGAUAGAGAUUGAAAGAUUGGCCGCGCGCGAGCCGACUUGCUGAGCGGGCCGAGGAACGUCACAGGAAUGAACUCCUUUCCUUCGCUGUGAUGUGACGUGAGCGAGAAACAGAGCACGGAUGAAAUGAUGCACAACUUGCCUUUGAACAAAGAAGCUGCAACAGACGCCAUCCUGUGAGGUAAGAGUCACGGAAGAAGUGUAACGGCCGGCAAACCUCGCGCGCUGCCAUGGCCAAACAUGUCGGCAACGGCCCGCUUGUGCGGCGCCGCGUCUCUUAUAGCUGGGUGUCGUGUUUGUCCCUGUAAGACCGUUGUUGGCUUCCACGAUAUUGUGCAAUAUGAGCAGGCACGUGCACGGCUCUGGUUGCCGUUCGUAUGUAGCGUUUCGUUGAGUUGUGGCCCCUCCUCUCCAACCCUUUUUUUCAAUCGGCACUGUCCAACUACCACCCCACCACCACCACCACCCACCGACCACCACUCUCUCUUACUCAUUAUCACCGCACCCCACUUCUUCAUCCGCGCUCGCGCGCCGCAAUGCAG